rnacentral:rRNA from 1 species
GACGGAGGGUGCUAGCGUUGUUCGGAAUUACUGGGCGUAAAGGGCGCGUAGGCGGCCGUUUGCGUCGGAUGUGAAAGCCCGGGGCUCAACCCCGGAACGGCAUCCGAUACGGGACGGCUGGAGACCGGGAGAGGAGGGUGGAAUAGCCAGUGUAGAGGUGAAAUUCGUAGAUAUUGGCUGGAACACCGGUGGCGAAAGCGGCUCUCUGGACCAGCACUGACACUGAGGCACGAAAGCGUGGGGAGCAAACAGG